GAUAAGAACGCAGCGAAAUGCGAUAAGUAAUGUGAAUUGCAGAAUUCAGUGAAUCAUCGAAUCUUUGAACGCACAUUGCGCCCCUUGGUAUUCCGAGGGGCAUGCCUGUUCGAGCGUCAUUAUAACCCCUCAAGCUCAGCUUGGUGUUGGGGCCUGCUGCACUGGCAGCCCUUAAAAUCAGUGGCGGCGCCAUCUGGCUCUAAGCGUAGUAAUUCUUCUCGCUAUGGAGUCCUGGUGGAUGCUUGCCAUCAACCCCCAAUUUUUCUAUGGUUGACCUCGGAUCAGGUAGGGAUACCCGCUGAACUUAAGCAUAUCAAUAAGCGGAGGA
rnacentral:misc_RNA from 1 species